GCGAGGGAGAGGCGGGGAAAUAUCCACCAGGGGCAAAUGGAAAGUGGCGUUUCUGCACGUAGAAGCUGGCGGCGGCGUUGCCAGAAAGCAGCGGGGCUGCCUCGGGUCUCCCUGUGGCCGCCAGUGGGCUCCUUAGUCUUAAAGGGCCCCUUAUUAACUAGUAUUUAAAUAUAUAUAUAUAUAAGUGGUUCUGGGGCUUCAGCAGCCCACCUAAAUAUAACCUCUGUCUCCCUCCCGGGGUACUUUGUAUAUGCUCAGAGGCAAUUCCCACACACACACACACACACACACACACACGCCCUGCCCACUUCAUAUUUUGCGGGGAAUUGGAAACGGUGCCUGUGAUACGAAAGAAAUGGGGAACAAAUCCAGUGACACUAAACAGAUGGGAAACGGUUCUUCUGCCACAUCAAAGGGAAAAGUCAUCCUUCUACCAGGCAUGAUCAUUCAAGCAGGUGCAACGGUGAGGAAUGGACAAAUCACUUUGCUGAAGUGGGAAAUGGAACAGCAGUACACCAUUUAAUCUCAGCUGUGGUGAAGGCAAGCUUUGUCAGCAUCUCCUGCAUAAAGCUCUAAGGUGGGAAUCAAAUCCAAGACCAAGUGGCAACCUUCUCUCUCACCAGCAAGAACCUCGGUGCACUGAAUGAGCCCUGGAAGAGCAGCGGUGGGCUUUGGUGUCUCAAAUUUCAACGGUGCCCUGUGCAACACCAAAAUUUGGUGCCCCCACCUCCAUUUUACAUUACAGUUGUGACGCCCCUGAGGCCCCAUGCGCAGUGCAGCUGAACUGGUCACGCUCCCCUAAAUCUGCCUCUGGACAGAGGAUCCUCAGUGAGCCGUAGCAGAUUGUGGAUGGCUGCAGUUUCCGUGCCCUAUCGUGCCAACAUGAUUUGAGAAGAAGGUGGUUCAGAAAGAGCUGCUGCUUUGCCUUUAGGCUUUCUGAAGCGUUAAGAAGCAUCUAUGCCUUUUCUAAUUCCAGGGCUGAGAUUAAUGUCCUCAUCCUCAGGCCCUUGCACACAGCGGUAGGUUGUCUGCACAGAAGGGCACGCAAAGAUCUCUGGGUUCUCACGCGUGGAACAAAUUCAUGCUGGGUUGGGUAGGCCCAGGAGGUACAGCCCAUUUUGAAAGUUCAAAAUGCCUCAGAAACCUGAUUGUUUUCAGAACCUCUCCAGGUCAUCAAGGCCGCCAGGUUAAACCCUGUUGCUUAGCCUUCUAGUGCCAUCUACUGGUGGUGCCUAGAGAAAUCAAAGAAGUUCAUGUCAGCAACUGCCAUACACUCUCAAGGCCACUUUGCAUGCUAUAUUUUUAUGACUAAUACCACAUUGCAAAAUAUUGCAAUGGAAGGUUUUAUACACACUGCUACUCAACAACAACAUUAUGGGAGGUGGUUCAGCUGUGGCCAUGUCUGUCUCACAGAGUACAACACACUUUUUUUUGUUUAUUUCAUUCAUAUACCACACUUGAAUCUGACCAAACUGCAGGAGGCAGUGGAAGACAGGAGUGCCUGGCGUGCUCUGGUCCAUGGGGUCACGAAGAGUCGGACACGACUAAACGACUAAACAACAAUAAUACCACACUUACCUUCCAAUGAAUAUCAAAGGAAAAAAUAUUUCAUAACACCAGCUAUUCCAAGUGUUCUGUUCUGCAGAAUGGACCAAAACAAGGAAGACAGACAACAGGAUCGUACAAACAACUCUGACUUCAAGGUUCCAGGCUAAAGAGCACAGGUGCAGA